rnacentral:rRNA from 1 species
UACGAAGGUGGCAAGCGUUACUCGGAAUUACUAGGCGUAAAGGGCAGGUAGGUGGUUUGGUUAGUCUGUUGUGAAAGCUCCUUGCUUAACGGGGAGAGGUCAACAGAUACUGCCAGACUUGAGUAUAGGAGAGGUUACUGGAAUUCCCGGUGUAGCGGUGAAAUGCGCAGAGAUCGGGAGGAACACCAAUGGCGAAAGCAGGUAACUGGACUAUUACUGACACUCAGCUGCGAAAGCUAGGGGAGCAAACAGG